GCGAAAACUUUACACUGCGCGAAAGCGCGAUAAGGGGACCUCGAGUGCGUGCGCAAUGCGUACGCUUUUCAGAUGCCUAAAAAGCAUGUGGAAUAAGGGCCGGGCAAGACCGGUGCCAGCCGCCGCGGUAACACCGGCGGCUCAAGUGGUGGCCGCUAUUAUUGGGCUUAAAGGGUCCGUAGCCGGACCAGUUAGUCCCUUGGGAAAUCUGACGGCUUAACCGUUAGGCUUUCGGAGGAUACUGCCAGGCUUGGAACCGGGAGAGGUAAGAGGUACUACAGGGGUAGGAGUGAAAUCUUGUAAUCCCUGUGGGACCACCUGUGGCGAAGGCGUCUUACCAGAACGGGUUCGACGGUGAGGGACGAAAGCUGGGGGCACGAACCGGAUUAGAUACCCGGGUAGUCCCAGCCGUAAACGAUGCUCGCUAGGUGUCAGGCAUGGCGCGACCGUGUCUGGUGCCGCAGGGAAGCCGUGAAGCGAGCCACCUGGGAAGUACGGCCGCAAGGCUGAAACU
rnacentral:rRNA from 1 species